CUCGUAGUUGGAUUUCUGGCAGGAGCGACCGGUCACACACUCUGUGCGUGAACUUGUGUUGUCUCUGGCCAUCCUUGGGGAGAUCCUGUUUGGCAUUAAGUUGUCGGGCAGGGGAUACCCAUCGUUUACUGUGAAAAAAUUAGAGUGUUUAAAGCAGGCUUAUGCCGUUGAAUAUAUUAGCAUGGAAUAAUAAGAUAGGACUUCGGAACUAUUUUGUUGGUUUGCGUUACGAAGUAAUGAUUAAUAGGGACAGUUGGGGGUAUUCGUAUUGCAUUGUCAGAGGUGAAAUUCUUGGAUUUCUGCAAGACGAACUACUGCGAAAGCAUUUACCAA
rnacentral:rRNA from 1 species